UUUCUCUAUAUAGGAAAAAUAUUUAAAUUCAUAUUCAAACAAGUGCCUUGCAUACAUAUGUAACAAGGCAGGUCUAGUAGCAUUUUCUGUUUCUCUCCAACGAUUUGGUCAAAUCUUCAGAUGCUUUCUUAAGGGAAAUAGCCAGUAAAUUAGAAACUUACUGGGAAAAAUAGUGACAGAUUCCGAGUACUGUUGUAGAUUCCCUCAAUUACUUUUAUAUUAUUUUCUUCUAAUUUAUUCCAAAUUGAGGUUCUAUGCAGAGUCAAGGAACAUGGUAGGUAAAUUAGAACCAAUGGUGCAGGCGUGCAGCAUGAUUUGCUCAAUGUGGAGACUCACCAGGAAGGUAAUGGUAAACCAUCUUAAGUCUUUUUCUAUUAACUUGUUUGCUUGCAAGUAAGAACUUGCUAUUUUUUUUUUCUAUGCAAGUGUUUCAAAAGCUUGAGUUUAUAGCAAAUGUUUUGAUAAAUUCUUCAUUUGUUACUUUUUCCGGGCAGUGUAUACUAAUAUGAAAAGUUGGUAACGCAGGUAACCAACUAGUAUUUUUAACUCCAAAAAUACUAUUUGUCUGGUUUUCAUUGACAUGAAUAACUAUUUCGAGAAACUAAAUCCUGCAAGUUUUUCCCCAGAAAUUGUGAAACGAGUGCAAUUUGUUUGAUAGAAGUAUUCAAGUGACCAACCUCUAAGAUGCUUAAGCCAUCUGAAAAGACAAAAGCACCAACCUAGAAUAUCUUACCAAAGUUGGACUGUUCUGCUUGGGAAAGAAAAGAGCAGUAAGGCCUUGUAACAUGGUUUCAAAUCGCGGUCGCGGCCACGUUCGCGGUCGUGGGUAAUGGAAACAGACCUGUAACGGCCGUAACGUAACGGUAACGGCCUGACGUUACGCAAAUUUUUUAAAAAAAUUUGCAAAGUUCAUAAAUAAAAUGAUAUUGAUUAGAUUUGAUUCAGAACAAUGUAUACAAAUGCAUAAUAAACAUAAAUAUAUAAAAUAUAGAUUAUUUAACUUAUGUUAAACAUCAUAUAUAGUUUAAAAAAAGAAAAAUCUAACAUAAUCUUUGUAGAUUGAGUAAAUUAAUAGCUCAAAGUACAAUUUUAACUCAAACUAACACUUUAAUCCAUAAAAACUUAUAAAAAAAGGAAAAAAAACAACAAUUAAAAACUAAAAUAGAUAAAAUCUAACCAACUUUUUAAAAGAAAUAAGCUUGGAAAUAGAAUAGUUUAUAAUGGAUCUAAUUUUAUACGAGAAAUAUGCAGGGAAGAUUGAAAUUUGAAAGAGAAAGGGAAGAGAAAACUGAAAAAAUAUAGUCUUUAAAGCUGCUGAAAAGUGUAGAAGAAUAGGGAGCAGAAGAUAAAGAAUAUAAAAGAAUUUUUAAUUAUUGGUAACUGCCGUUACCGUUAGUAAUUGCCGUUACCAUUACAUAACGGCUGUUACGCUUGCAACAUAAUUAUUUAAAACCAUGCCUUGUAAGGCCUUUAGCAGGAAAAUCAUACAUAUACUACAAUAGUUAAGUGCAGGUUUUCAUUGAGCUUUUUUAGGUGCUUCUCAAACAGGUAUUGGUCAGAUUCAUAUGACGGAUGCUUAAGACAAAUGGAAAAGAAAAAGAUUUAUGCGACCCAUAGCUGUUGCAUGCCUUCAUAAGAAAAGUUCUCUUACCAAUUUGAUGUAGCAUGCACAAACUAAGAUGCUAUCUAGUUACCUGUAUGACUUAGUAAGCAGAAUUGGUCAAUACUUGAAAUUUCCCAAAAAAAAAUUGAUAGAAAACACUCAAAAUGGCCUUACAAUUCAAUCUUUCUUAUUUAUUUCAGGAUGAUGUUCUAGUUAGCGACUCUAUUGUUUGAUAAAUGGUACCUGUGAGUGAAUGACUUGUCCAAAUCUGAGAAAUUUCAACUUUCUGUGUCAUUACCCAUUGUAUGCCAUAUAAAUUAUUGGUUUAAACAACUUGGUGGUUUGUAAGACACGCAAAUUCCCAACUUUAAUUCUGUAAAAUAUGUUUUGAAAGCAUGAUCUACUUUCAUUUGAUUGGAAGUUGAUCCAGUUUUCAGAAAAUUUUACAGAAUUAAAUUUCAACUUGCUGUGUCAUUACCCAUUGUAUACCAUAUAAAUUCUUUGUUUAAACAACUUGUUGGUUUGAAAGACAUGCAAAUUCCCCUACUUUAAUUCUGUAAAAUAUUUUCUGAAGGCUUGAUCUACUUUCAUUUGAUUGGAUUCCUUGUAGUCAUUACUUUUUUUUAUGAAAUAUCUCUACAAUGACAUAAAUAGUUGCGUAAUGCACGUUAUUAAUCAAUGUAGAUGUAUACAUACUAAUUUAUAUAUGAUUUCGUUGACCAUUGCAUGUGUCUCUGUUCAAAGCAUUACAAUUUCAACUGCUGCUGCUAUUUUUUUCCGAUGCUUGAAGCCUUAAAUUGUUAAUUCCUUUAAGGUUACCUAGAAACUUCUCAAAACUAUACUACUUAUAAGUUGAACCAUGAAACCUAAUAAUAUCUUUAGGAAUCUUCAAAAAUACUGACAUGAAGCUAGAAAAUCUUCAGAGUUGGACUGUUAUGCUCCAGGUAGUGUAGGUGUAAUUGACAAAUAGAAAUUCUUUUAAAGUUGAUCUAAUUGUAGUUCAUUUGGCUAAUAAAAUAAAAAAUUUCAACAAUCUUUUGUUAGUGGGCAAAUGUCUGUUUGCACAUGUACAUGUAAUGGAAGAUUCUUCUGCACAUGUUUCUGACUUCUUCGUUGAUUCUCAAUUUCAGAUAUUUGAUAUAUAUGAACACUGCUAUAGAAAAUGCUUAGUGCAUUUCCUUCCAUAAAAGUCUAUUCUUUUAUGAUUAACAACAUCCUAUCAAGUUAUAUUUCAAUGCGCCCUUGGUUAGUCCAGUUUGAAACUGCUGAACUGAUUAGCUUAACUGCUAGUGUUAGAGCCUUGGAGGUAGCUUAAUGGCAAAUAAAUCCAAGCAGAAUUUUAUGCAAAUAGUUGCACACUUGAGUUGCAGAAUUUUAUGCGAGAUCAGAUCAUGAAAUGAGUUGCACACUCGAUACAUUAAAUGACAAACAGAAAACCAUGUAAACCGCAGAAAAUGGCAACAAAUCUGCCCAAAAAAAAAAAAAAGAAAUGAAAGAAAGAUCAUUCUUCUACCUAUAGACAGAUCCAUAACUUUGCAUGUUCUGGUCAUUGCUGUAUCCUUAUUUGUAUGCCUUACAUUAUUUGUUGCUGAUAUGCACUAAAUCUUGUAAAAGAUCACAAUGGAGAAACUUGGUUUCACUUGCUUGCCGUUUUCUUCGGUACUUUACCUACCGAUAAGAUACUUCUUUCCCAGUGAGUGUUCUUCCAUCUAAUAAAAUAAACCUGUGGGAAAUGAGAAAGAUUUGUUCCCUGUUUCUCCAGCAUGAUCAUCUUGUUUAAUUCAUCAGGCAUGUCAAAAAAUUUGAUUGUUUUGAGGUUUUUGAGGUGUUCGAUACAGGAUGGUCCUUCCUCCAACAAUUGGCAGCGACUAAUGGUAAGUUCUCUGAGUAAGGGCAUUGCCCCUUCCUCCACAUGCAAACAUCUAAGUUCUUCCAACUCCUCAAGAAAUAAUAUGUUCAGCCUCUGAAAGCUUCCAGCCUUGAAACUCAAUGCUUGUCCAUCAUAUGCUUGACGAAGUUGAAGUUCUACCAGAUUUGGCAAAUCUCCAAGGGACUCGCACAGGUUGUCCUUCAAGUGGCUGCACCUC
rnacentral:lncRNA from 1 species